CUCCUUCNCCCCCCCCCUCCCCCCGAGGGGGGAUAAANACNUCAGUAGUCAUCGGACGGGUGAGUAACGCGUGAGAAUCUAGCUUCAGGUCGGGGACAACCACUGGAAACGGUGGCUAAUACCGGAUGUGCCGAAAGGUGAAAGAUUUAUUGCCUGAAGAUGAGCUCGCGUCUGAUUAGCUAGUUGGUGUGGUAAGAGCGCACCAAGGCGACGAUCAGUAGCUGGUCUGAGAGGAUGAUCAGCCACACUGGGACUGAGACACGGCCCAGACUCCUACGGGAGGCAGCAGUGGGGAAUUUUCCGCAAUGGGCGAAAGCCUGACGGAGCAAUACCGCGUGAGGGAGGAAGGCUCUUGGGUUGUAAACCUCUUUUCUCAGGGAAUAAAAAAAUGAAGGUACCUGAGGAAUAAGCAUCGGCUAACUCCGUGCCAGCAGCCGCGGUAAUACGGAGGAUGCAAGCGUUAUCCGGAAUGAUUGGGCGUAAAGCGUCCGCAGGUGGCACUGUAAGUCUGCUGUUAAAGAGCAAGGCUCAACCUGUAAAGGCAGUGGAAACUACAGACCUAGAUUACGUUCGGGGCAGAGGGAAUUCGUAAUGGAGCGUUGAAACCCCUCGAGAUCUGGGGGGGGAGUGCCACGCGGAAAUUGAUUUAUACCCCACUGUCUCUGGGUGGGGAUCUCC
rnacentral:rRNA from 1 species